AAACCCACAAAAAAAAAAACCCAGACGUCUGUUUUCCAUUCCAGGGCAAAGAAAACAUAUUAUAAAAACAUAAGUAGAGGCAAAACCUGAAGCUGGCAAAAAUCAGCAGUAAGGCUCAGACCUCAAUUAUGAUGUGUGAACACAGCAAAUGGGUCUCCUUGCCAGGCAAAGGAUAGUCUCUGAUGUGAGUAAGGUCGGCAGGAUCAGAAUUUUACCAUGAUGGCUGAAAACUGAUAAUAGCAACUUUAUCUGACUGCUGGAGUGAUGCAGGCCUAUCAUGCUGUGGCUUCAAUAAAGGCUUCUAAGCUU